AAAUUUUGGAUAUAUUUUCAUGGACCCAACCCAAAAGUUUUGCACUGUAUGCCGAUUGGGAUAAAAAGUGAGGUUUGUGGUGGUAGGGGAGGGCACAGUAAACAGUGGGAUUAGGGUCUGAGAGUUAUUGAUUGUAUCUUACUCAGUAAAAACUUUAUUUCUUAUCUUGCCUAUGGAUAUAAACCUUACGAUCAAACCAUGUAAAUCACAUGUUAUAUUUAUACUUUUUUCUUAUAUUGUGUGAUUGUGAUUGUGAUUGUGUGCGUGCCUUAAAUUUGCAUGCUUACUAUAAUAGCUAGGUUUUGGUCAUGUAUGACACAAAUGUUUGUCGUGGCUAGGUUGGUUCCAAGAUCAU
rnacentral:misc_RNA from 1 species